GGUUCGAUUCCGGCUCGAAGGACU
rnacentral:piRNA from 2 species